rnacentral:rRNA from 1 species
UACGUAGGCAGCAAGCGUUGUUCGGAGUUACUGGGCGUAAAGAGUGUGUAGGCUGUUCUCUAAGUUUGGUGUGAAAUCUCCCGGCUCAACUGGGAGGGUGCGCCGAAAACUGGAGGGCUCGAGUAUGGGAGAGGAAAGCGGAAUUCCUGGUGUAGCGGUGAAAUGCGUAGAUAUCAGGAGGAACACCUGCGGUGUAGACGGCUCUCUGGACCGCGACUGACGCUGAGACACGAAAGCGUGGGUAGCAAACAGG